rnacentral:tRNA from 1 species
GGGGAUAUAGCUCAGUUGGUAGAGUACUUGCCUCACAUGCACAAGGCCCUGGGUUCAAUCCCCAGUACCACAA